UCCAGGAUCUAAAAGAGAAGAAGGAAGUUGUUGAAGAAACAGAAAAUGGCAGAGAUGCACCAGCCAACGGCAACGCUAACGAUGAAAACGGAGAGCAGGAGGCUGACAACGAAGUAGAUGAAGAGGAAGAGGAAGGUGGUGAGGAAGAGGACGAGGAGGAAGAGGGUGAUGGUGAGGAAGAAGACGGCGAUGAAGAUGACGAAGCCGAGGGAGCCACAG
rnacentral:lncRNA from 1 species